rnacentral:rRNA from 1 species
UACGGAGGGUGCAAGCGUUAUCCGGAUUCACUGGGUUUAAAGGGUGCGUAGGCGGGUAUAUAAGUCAGUGGUGAAAGCUCCGGGCUUAACUUGGAAACUGCCAUUGAUACUGUAUAUCUUGAAUAUCGUAGAGGUUAGCGGAAUGUUGCAUGUAGCGGUGAAAUGCUUAGAUAUGUUACAGAACACCAAUUGCGAAGGCAGCUAACUAUGCGAUGAUUGACGCUGAGGCACGAAAGCGUGGGGAGCAAACAGG